AUUGAACGCUGGCGGCAGGCCUAACACAUGCAAGUCGAGCGAGCGGCGGACGGGUGAGUAAUGUCUAGGAAACUGCCUGAUGGAGGGGGAUAAGUACUGGAUACGGUAGCUAAUACCGCAUCCCAUCAGCUUUGCCCAGAUGGGAUUAGCUAGUAGGUGGGGUAACGGCUCACCUAGGCGACGAUCCCUAGCUGGUCUGAGAGGAUGACCAGCCACACUGGAACUGAGACACGGUCCAGACUCCUACGGGAGGCAGCAGUGGGGAAUAUUGGACAAUGGGCGAAAGCCUGAUGCAGCCAUGCCGCGUGAGUGAAGAAGGCCUUCGGGUUGUAAAGCACUUUCAGCGGGGAGGCGUUACCUGCAGAAGAAGCACCGGCUAACUCCGUGCCAGCCGCCGCGGUAAUUC
rnacentral:rRNA from 1 species